rnacentral:rRNA from 1 species
UACGUAGGGUGCGAGCGUUAAUCGGAAUUACGUGGGACGUAAAGCGUGCGCAGGCGGUCUUUGCAAGACAGAUGUGAAACUCCCCGGGCUCAACCUGGGAACUGCAUUUGUGACUGCAAGGCUAGAGUACGGCAGAGGGGGAUGGAAUUCCGCGUGUAGCAGUGAAAUGCGUAGAUAUGCGGAGGAACACCAAUGGCGAAGGCAAUCCCCUGGGCCUGUACUGACGCUCAUGCNCGAAAGCU